CUCAGAUUCGAAUUAUAAUGUGAUAAUUCAGAAAUUGAGCCAUCACAUUAUCAUAUAUCAGCUGUUAUCACAGUCAUACAUCGUGAAAAAGGAGAUUACAACACAUUUACUUUACAACUCUUAGUUAACAAGCCUAUUACAUCGUUUUACUAGCGGAAACAUACACGAAUCUUUAUCAGAGUUGAUGUAGCGCGUCAACGGUGAAGGCUCCUCCUUCACGGGCAAUCAUCAGAGUCGGCGUAGUUUAUCAGCGGGCGUAGCCUUCAUCUCCGAACCAAACUUGAGCGCAGGAACGAGACCACCUAAUCCUUCUAUUCUCCGUGGUUAUCGUCUUAGACCACGUUCAACACCUGCUAAACAAUUUUCAGUACGAUUUGUACUGGCCACUGGCUCCCACCCUAUGCUUUUGCGUAAGCUUUGUGGUAAGUGGAAUGCAAAGGGGUAGAUCAAGAGGCCUAUAAAUAUGGUUGUAGUCUUUCCUAUGCAAGUUCAUCAUUAUUUAAUAAUAAUAUUCAUCAGGUUUUAAUCCAUCUCAACCACACAUCUAUCCAUCCAUCCAUCCAUCACACACAUCUCACCACACUCUCACUCUCUAGGCGGCAAGUACGACUCCCGCUCGUGCCUUGCCUCAACGGCCAACGCCGGAUCCAACACAAACCCAGGGGAAGGUAGAAGGGACUCCUCUCUCUAGUCAAGUGAAGCGGAAACAUAGGAAAGGUCCAUAGCCGAAAACGGCAUAUGUAUCGAUCGAUCAACCAGAAACUCUGCAGAGGUUUGCACUAACCACAAGAUCACCAUCAUCGGUGGUGCGCCCCACCUAGGCUGAUGCCAGGCUGCCUUCCAACUAAGUACGAUGCCACCCUACCACUCAGAACUGGGACCAUACCGGAGUACCACCGGUACGCUGAGACUGUGAGGCGUAGUACCGGGCCCCCAAAGGUCACUACGCUGUCUUAGGAGGGUGUGGGUCCUCAUGCCCGUACCUCCCUACACUGUCAACCAACAACCUAGUAGUAGUGGCACCGCCCUAACUGGUCGUACAUCCGUCUCCUCCCCAUAAGAGCGAGUGGGGUGCAAGGCUUCCUACGAACCGGUUCUCAGAACAUCUCAGUCCUUAGGGUGACCGAACAGGACAUCUUCACGAGGGGCCAACCGAUGCCCGGCUCGACGGGACAUCCGAUUACCCCUUGCUAAACAGCACCUCCCAUCCCGGUGCUUCGUCCCACGAAGACACUCCACUCCGGGACCUCUCCCUGUCACAUGUACCCGCCACAGGUAUCUCUCGUGGAGAACGCCCAGGUAGCGUCCCCCGGCAAGACUUGCCCCAAGACUCGUCGUAGAUCCUGCUCGGUCGACUCAACCCUCACCACACACCCAAGACACACGCCAAGAUCUCCCCAAAUCCAUUACUAUCUCAUUAUCCAGCUUUUGGCACCACGUGCCUUAUCCACUCACUUCCAGUCCUCCACAAUGCAUCACAUCACAGAUAUAAUGCGUAGUAGAAGCAGUAGCAAGUAGUAUGCAAGCAUCUAACCUAACAGCGGGUGUGCGAGGAUUAUAGGUUGCAACAAGGCAAUGGCUCACAAGCAUUUCUACCAUGCAACCUAUCUCAAUUUAUUUGCAUAAAAGUAAAGCACUAGCAUCUACAUAUUGCAUGUCUAAUAGGAUUCUACGAGGUUGGGUGGGACGUGGCACCUGUCGAGUGACAUUUCCAGGAUCCUCAGUUCACUUGUAGUUGUACUCAUCCAAGGUCUUUCUCCUAUCUGCAUGUCCUUCCUUCGACUGGUUCCGACUCGAUCAUCGCUAACCG
rnacentral:lncRNA from 1 species